AUGCUAUCUAUCGGGUUGUUGGAAAAAUCAUGUCGUAUUUUUCUAAGUCUAAUGCCCAAGUCUUGGCAUUACUGAGUUACCUGGAUUGUCAGGCUGUGUAGCACUCAAGCAUUCGACGUAUACUUGUUGUGGCUGGACAAAUGGCCACAGCUCGAGGGUGUGGGUGUUGGAUAAUGGUUACGGGUGUGGCCCAAGUUCUACCCCACAAAGGAGCGCUGCAUACAACGUACAUUCUCGCCUAUGCAGUGCAGCGUCGCGUGCAUCCCAGACCCAUCCUAUCCUCACGCCCACUGCCCUCCACCCACUCUGCUGCCCGACCUUCCAAAUGCAGAAAUCCUGGCGUCUUUCACGCUAGAUUCGCUGCCCGGACCAGGGAGGAAAGCAAUGGCUAAAGGCCAGGCCCAGGCACUGUGGAUGAUGACGAACGUCCAGCGGCGGGAACACAGGACAGUCCCAUCCGCUGCUACUACUCCCCGCCGGCUUCAGGACCAUUCUGGACCCCAGGCCUACCUGGUCCUGGAUUGUCAUCUUUUCCCGCCAGCGGAGGCAUCCAACUGCCAUACAAGUGCAGACCAGUGGAAGAGAAGAACAACAAAAAUCGAAUUGAAUGAAACCCAAAAGCAAGAGAUUAAAGAGGCCUUUGAUUUAUUCGACAUCGAUGGGUCUGGAACCAUAGAUGUGAAAGAAUUGAAGAUUGCAAUGUGGGCCUUAGGAUUUGAACCAAAGAAAGAAGAAAUUAAAAGAAUGAUAGCCGAAAUGGACAGCGAAGGAACUGGCACUAUUAGUUUCGAAGACUUUUUUGCCAUUAUGAGUAUAAAAAUGAGUGAAAAGGAUGAAAAUGAAGAACUAUUGAAGGCUUUCAAAUUAUUCGAUGAUGAUAAUACUGGAGGCAUAACACUGAACAAUAUCAAGAGGGUUGCUAAGGAACUAGGGGAAAAUCUAACAGAUGAGGAACUUUAGGUCACCAAGAAUCACCAUACCAUGACAGACACGAAGUGAGCACGCACUGUUAAAAAAUGGUGCCAAUGCACUUGCUGGAUGCAGGGUUGCCACCAACCUUCCAUUGGUAAAGCAUGGCGUCUCUGCAAAAUGUAAAUCGGAAAGCACAGUAACAUGAGGAAAUGCUUGAUGAAGCUGAUCGUGAUGGGGAUGGACAAAUAAAUGAGGAAGAAUUUUUGAGAAUGAUGAAAAAGACUUCUCUUCAUUAAUAUUGGUUUUUUUUUUUUUUGGAGGGAGUCCUUUUAGAAAAUUAAUGAAUUUGUAUUUAUUAUACAGCUCAAUAAUUUAACAUCUGAAUGUAUUCUUUUUCACUUUUUAGUUGAUAUGCUUUUGAUGUCUAAUCCAUGUGAGAAGAUACAUGUUUCUACAUAUGUUACAUCUACAGCAUCUAGAAACAAAGAAAACACGACUCCUGGGAGCCGUGACUCUUAAGAACAGUAUUCAUUCUAACUGCUGCUUUUAAAGCUCUAGGUUGAGUGGGCCCUGCAUCCAGAUGAAUCUGGCAAAGAAACCAUCACUUUCUCUUUUGUUCUCCUUUUGUGCAACUCUAAGACACUGAUUAACAUUUGCUUUUUAAUCAGUUACUCAAAUAUGUAAGGUAUUAAAUAAAACUGUCUAGCAACUACAUGCUUUGCCAAUUUU